UCUCUAGGUUCACAUAGAGGAACAUUCUAAGGAUUUACCCCAAAGAAACUUAAAGUUGCCUCCUCAAAUUACCAACCACAUAUUGAAUGGAUGCAUGGAGCUCAAAUGGUUGUGUCUAAUAUGCAGGGAUGUGAUAACUCACGAUGGUUCAUGCAUGGGAUGUUUAGAGCCAAUGAUGAGGCCCUGCCUUUUUUAUGCACAAGGGCUCAAAUGAUGAGAUUUUUGAUCCUAAAAAGACCUUGGUAGUGACAAAGACAUUGAAGGUGAAAGCAUUUAUGGCCAAUGGAUGUCACUUGGAUUUUAAUCAAACCCCCUUUGAUUCAUUCUCCCCACAGACUUCUACACAAAAGUUAGUAAGUAUUUUGCAGAGCUCUAAUCACGUCAUAUGCAGCUGGUUGUUUAUAGCUCAGCUGAAAUUUCGGAGGACUUAUCAUUUGUUGCAAAUGACGAAUUAGACUUUGUACAUAAACACCUAAUGUUGUGAGGAUAUAAUAUAUAAUGUAACAAUGUAAUAUAACAAUGUAGUUACGAUAUAAUAUAUAAUUUAACAAUGUAAUAUAACAAUGUUUCUAAAUUCAGUAGCAUCGAAUCAAACAAUAUUCCCGCAGCAUCGCGCGGGUGCAUUUUCUAGUUA